AACGAAACCGCGGAUUGCAUUUUUGCUCAUGAAAAAGUUGCUUUAAAUUACCUCAGGAAUCUCCACGUUCGUCAUCGCAACGGAACAAUGAAAACGAUGCUCGUGCUUACAGACUAGUGCGGGCGUGUGCGCAAAAAACAGAAGAAAGUGUUCGAAAUUGAUAUAUUAACGAUAUCUCUAGUUCAUUAGAUAGUUGUUUCUCGGAACGAUGACUUUAAGCUGGAACAGCUGGGACGCUGGAAAAAAAAGAAGAAUCGCGAGCUCGAUUGUUUCGCGUCUCAUUGCCAGCCGAAUACUUCGACGACACGACAGACCGUAUAUAUGUACACGUACGCAGGGACGAUUGCUUCCUAAUCACUAAGGUUUCGUCAUAAAAAAGUGCCUCUAAGCUUAACAAUUCGUAUCGCAUCUGGCUACUGUCGUACUAUGGCUACCCGACACGACGACACAACGACACCGACCAUACGACGACACACAACACACGACAUAACGUUCCGCGACACGCUACUCGACUACCGUUAACAAAGUUUUGAUUCGUUCUUACUCGCGCGCGCGCACACAUCGUUGUGACGCGUUCCGAAUGAAAUUGCACGCUAAUGUAAAUACACCAGAGUCGUCUGUGCGUCGUCUAUCCGUCCGUUCGUCGGGAUCUCGUCUAAUCGGCGAGAUCGAGAGUCUCCGUGUGUGUGUGUGUGUCUAUUCUACGCGCUCAAUCGAUCGUAACAAUGGAAUCGAACACGAAUCCGACAAUGAAAUGGAUUCGAUGUGGAAGUUACGUUUCACAUAGGGCUGGCUCUAGUCUCCGAUUGAAAUUACGAUCUACGAGAACCUCUAACGUUCGAUCAAUUGACUAGGUUCCUUCUCAGAUUUACAACUACGCACAUUUUCGCUUCUAACAACAAGUAUACUAACAAGUAUACUCCUUAUGCUACGCUCGGUCCGGAAAAUCGUCGCGAUCGUUUCUCGCGAUCGUCUUUCCCUCGUUAGCGUCGCGUCCCGCCGUUCCUCUUUCACGCGAAUUUUACAAAAGAGAUCUUCACGAAAGAUCUCGGCGAACGAGGGAACACUUCCGGUCCGAGCAGGAUCUUUUUCUAGCCUACACGCGACCCAUUGGCUCGCGUAUUUGAUUUCUAAUAUUUUUCUAAACAUGUCGGAGGAUUAGAGAGGGCCGCUAAAAGACCUCGAAUUGCGCGGCGGCUGCACAGAACAUUCGAACACGAACGACCGACCAACAAGCACGCACGAUAUGUAUUCUAAAUUACCGAUUACUGGACUGUGUGGAUCUUGAUGCGCCUACAAAAUCAAAAUGGACCUUUUCUCGCGUGUUUCGUCUCUACGUGCCCACCGCACGCCAGAAGUAACGUUAAACAACGGAACAACAAAUUCUUGGAAGCUUCUUCGACUUAACUCUGGCAACGCUCUCUCUCUCUCUUCUCUCUCUCUCUCUCUCUCUCUCUCUCUUGCCCUCUAUCGCUUCUUCGUUCAACGAACGAUCUUCCAAAUUUGUGAACACUAUGCAAGCUUUUUAGUUUUACCGCCAGAUCUUGGCAGAGGGUCCUCUUGUUUCACUUUUUUUCCAUAGAAAACAUAUAAAAAUUGUGUAACGCUCGAUCGAUUACGCAACGCGGAGCCACCGGAAAUAUCGACGCCUAUGAUUUUCGCUUCCGGUUCUGUCACCGACCACAAUUCGGUUCCGUCGGGGGAAAUGUACAACAUUGAAAACUGAAUCUUUCUCCGGUUUCAAUUAACCAGCGGCGACCGAUUCAGCCGUCUCGGCUCCCAGGACGACGACUCGAGACUGCAGAUAUUUAUGGAACAACGAUCAACGGUUCAACCUUUUCUUUUUUUCUCUCCUGAAUCCGUGGUUCGUGAAGAGAUCGGAGAAACCAUUUGAGAACGCUACGGAAAAUCAUCGGCUAACGUGUUUCCGGUCGACGGAUUCGAUCGUAUCGCGGCCAGCGAUGGGAACGAUACUCGUCCGACAUCAUGGAAUGUCGUGUGGCAUAUAUGGUGUUGUGUCCAAUCAAUGACCAAUCAAUUGAAUCUCGAAUUUCAGUUCUCGUUAUUGCGGCACCCUGUAUAAUACGCUCUCGUCGUUCGAGUACAGUUUAAAUAGAGCUUUCUGUAUAUAAUCGUUAUUAGAAUAAUUAAAGCACUUCGUUUUGGGAAAUACA